AUUGAACGUUGGCGGCAGGCCUAACACAUGCAAGUCGAACGGUAGCACAGAGAGCUUGCUCUCGGGUGACGAGUGGCGGACGGGUGAGUAAUGUCUGGGAAACUGCCCGAUGGAGGGGGAUAACUACUGGAAACGGUAGCUAAUACCGCAUAACGUCGCAAGACCAAAGUGGGGGACCUUCGGGCCUCACACCAUCGGAUGUGCCCAGAUGGGAUUAGCUAGUAGGUGGGGUAAUGGCUCACCUAGGCGACGAUCCCUAGCUGGUCUGAGAGGAUGACCAGCCACACUGGAACUGAGACACGGUCCAGACUCCUACGGGAGGCAGCAGUGGGGAAUAUUGCACAAUGGGCGCAAGCCUGAUGCAGCCAUGCCGCGUGUAUGAAGAAGGCCUUCGGGUUGUAAAGUACUUUCAGCGGGGAGGAAGGCGGUGAAGUUAGUAACUUCACCGAUUGACGUUACCCGCAGAAGAAGCACCGGCUAACUCCGUGCCAGCCGCCGCCGUAA
rnacentral:rRNA from 1 species